AGCUUGGAGAAUGUCAUGUUUCUGGGCUGAGAGGUGUGAUGACAGCAAGGGAGACUGACGGAUUUCAUUGUCCCAGUAACUGGUCUGUCUUGGCCAAGCUAUAUAAAAAAAAUUAAUGGGAACUCUCCAUCUUUAACUUUCUACUCAAAGUGGUUGGUGUUAUUCUCAGGUCUUUCUGGAUAUUUAUAUAAUAAUUCUAUUGAUUUAUAGAUAAGGACAUGAGCUGUAUUAAAAUUUUUUAUUUAUAAAGAGAACAACUUUCAAAUAUUUCGUAUACAGUUUUAAGAGCAUAUUAACAAUUCUCACCUUACCCUUCCUCACUCCCACCCACCCUCCUUCUUUUCUUAUUUUUCUUUUAAUUUUUCCUAUGUAAUACUUAAACUUUUCUUUAUAAUCACAAGCAUAACCCUCCACUAAAUACAUUCAAAAACUAAGUAGAAAAACUGUUCUAUGAGCUCUUUUAAAACAUAAAAUUUAAUAGAAGAUGCUUUCUCAUUUUUAAAAGAGCAAAAUCAGUUUUCUGUUCAACAAUUCUGAUAUACUUUCCAUACAUUAAUUAUUACAAAUAAAGGUAAUACGUUUAAAGUUGUUUAACACCAAAGUUUCUGAAAAUAUCCGAUGUUUGUGGUUCAUGAAAUCAGAAUUUGUGGCAAAUUUUACUAAUGCACAGUACGGUUAAACACAGGUGCUUUGAAUAACUUACUGGAGAUUCAAGCUACAUGAAAAUUGUUUUACAUGAUAAAUAACGCACAGUGAAAUAAGUGUUGAAAAUGUUCAAAAACAGCUGUAGGUAUUAAAAAGACAAUACUUAGGAUAGUCUCCUCAAAGUAGACUAAACAAAGGAUUUUGAGUCCAGUUGCAGGGAAAGAAAAUUCGGCUAUGAAAACUCCCAGGGAGAGGGGCGUGUUGCAUGUCUACUUUAUUUCUCUGAAGCUCCUCACUUGGUACUUUAUACACAAAGCAUCUGCACUCAAUGCCUGAAUAAGCCAACGAUUGUUAUUUUUCACGUACAGGUCUCUACAAAUGGCAGGCCUAACUCACUCUUGCACUCAGCCAGCAGACACGAUUGCUUCAAGCAUUUGGUCAUGAGUUGGGGAAACUUCCUUGAACAAUAGAGAAGCACUGCGAUGCUUGGCCAGUGUUAUUCUGGGACAUCAUUGCUUCCAUUACUGAGCUUCUGAAUGGUGGUUAUGUCCCUCUUCCUAGAGCCUUCUCCAUGGUAUUGGUAAGUAAAGUGAUGCCAUGACCCUGACAAGGGACACAGGUGGGCUUUUCAAUCUGAUAAACUAGACAUCACUCUGGCAUAACCACAUUCUCGAGUUUUUUGUUCUCUUCCCCUACAACCUACACUGCCAGUACUGGUAUGUCUAAUUUAUUUAAUGUUGACCUUUGCAUUUUGAAGAUUCAGGUUUAUUGAGGUAUAAUUUACAUGUACUAAAAUAUGCCUAUUUAAGGUAUUUAUUUCUAUAAAUUUUGACAGUUAUAGUUGUGUAAUCACCAACACAAUCAGAUGUAGAACACUGUCAUCACUUCCAAAAAGUUCCAUUAAUUCGUAGAUUGCAUAGAAUUUAUAUCAUAGAUUGUAACUGAAUUUUAAUUUAUACAUUUAAAGUUCUUUUUAAAAAUUUUUGGUAGUUUUGACAGGAGGAAAAAGGUUGCUGGAUUUCAUUUGUUAAAUAAAUCUUUUAUUUGUAUAAGAAACCCA
rnacentral:lncRNA from 1 species